rnacentral:rRNA from 1 species
GACGAACGCUGGCGGCGCGCCUAACACAUGCAAGUCGAACGAGCGAGAGAGAGCUUGCUUUCUCGAGCGAGUGGCGAACGGGUGAGUAACGCGUGAGGAACCUGCCUCAACGAGGGGGACAACAGUUGGAAACGACUGCUAAUACCGCAUAAGCCCACGACCCGGCAUCGGGGAGUGGGAAAAGUAGCAGUCCGCUUUGAGAUGGCCUCGCGUCCGAUUAGCUAGUUGGUGAGGUAACUGCCCACCAAGGCGACGAUCGGUAGCCGGACGGGGAGGCUGAACGGCCACAUUGGGGAUGAGACACGGACCAGACUCGGACGGGAGGGAGCAGUGGGGAAUAUUGCACAAUGGAGGAAACCCUGAUGCAGCGGCGCGGGGUGGAGGAGGAAGGUCGUCGGAUUGUAAACUCCUGUUGGAGGGGAAGAUAAUGACGGUACUCGACAAGGAAGUGACGGCUAACUACGUG